GGGUUCGUAGCUCAGCCGGUAGAGCACUCGGCUUUUAACCGAAUGGUCGUGCGUUCGAAUCGCACCGGACCCA
rnacentral:tRNA from 1 species